rnacentral:lncRNA from 1 species
AUACUGUCCAAUAAAUUACUAAAGGUUUACAUUUUAACAAUUGUAAAAGCUAUAUUUUUGGGCCAAAAAGGGGUCUUACUGAACCUACUCCUUUUAACUUCCUUAGUGGUCUCAUAUUUGCCAAAGAUAGAGGUCAUGGGUUUUUAAAUCCUUUGCAAAGUCCAAUGUUUUCUUCUUCUCUGCCAAGCACACACCAGUUUAGAAUUAGAGCAGACAUUUGUUUAUUCGUGGUCCAAACAAUAUGUCAUUUUUUGUCGAGCCUGCAACUUUUGUUGCAGAAAGCUUGACAUAGGGAUAGUGAUCCGGCGGUGGCGGUGGCGUUAGUUAACUUCUUAAAAGCUUUAUAUUUAAGAAGGUGGAAGACCUGGAUGCUUCAUACUUUGUAUAUGGAUGCCUCAUGUUACGAAGUUUCCGUUAGUCACAAGUCAAAUGUCCUUGACCUCAUUUUUAUGGUUCAGUGACUACUUGAAAAAAAAAGUUAACAUUUUUUUUGUAAUGUUAAAUUCUCUCUUAUAAGUAAUAGGAUAACUAUAUUUGGUAUGUGCGUACCUUGCAAGGUCCUCAUGCCUGUCAGACAGUUUUCACUUGACCUCAACCUCAUUUCAUGGAUCAGUGAACAAGGUUAAGUUUUGGUGGUCAAGUCCAUAUCUCAGAUACUGUAAGCAAUAGGUCUAGUAUAUUCGGUGUAUGGAAGGACUGUAAAGUGUACAUGUCCAC